rnacentral:tRNA from 1 species
AUUAUUUAGGUGUAUAAAUAGCAUUAUAAUUUUUCAUAUUAUAGGAAACUUUAUUUAAAGUUAAAUAAUU